UACGUAGGGGGCAAGCGUUGUCCGGAAUCAUUGGGCGUAAAGCGCGUGUAGGCGGCCUUGUAAGUCCGUUCUGAAAGCCCGGGGCUCAACCCCGGGAGGCGGAUGGAUACUGCAGGGCUCGAGUACGGAAGAGGCGAGUGGAAUUCCCGGUGUAGCGGUGAAAUGCGCAGAUAUCGGGAGGAACACCAAUGGCGAAGGCAGCUCGCUGGGACGUUACUGACGCUGAGACGCGAAAGCAUGGGGAGCGAACAGG
rnacentral:rRNA from 1 species